rnacentral:rRNA from 1 species
CCUACGGGUGGCAGCAGUGAGGAAUAUUGGUCAAUGGACGAGAGUCUGAACCAGCCAAGUAGCGUGAAGGAUGAAUGCCCUAUGGGUUGUAAACUUCUUUUAUAUGGGAAUAAAAUGUUCCACGUGUGGAUUUUGUAUGUACCAUAUGAAUAAGGAUCGGCUAACUCCGUGCCAGCAGCAGCGGUAAUACGGAGGAUCCGAGCGUUAUCCGGAGUUAGUGGGUUUAAAGGGAGCGUAGGUGGAUUGUUAAGUCAGGUGUGAAAGUUUGCGGCUCAACCGUAAAAUUGCAGGUGAAACUGGCAGGCUUGAUUACAGUAGAGGUGGGCAGAAUUCGAGGUGUAGCGGUGAAAUGCUUAGAUAUCUCGAAGAACUCCGAUUGCGAAGGCAGCUCACUGGACGGCAACUGACACUGAGGCUCGAAAGUGUGGGUAUCAAACAGGAUUAGAUACCCGAGUAGUC